AGCCCGCUCAGAAACUCAAAGGAAUUGACGGGGGCCCGCACAAGCGGUGGAGCAUGUGGUUUAAUUCGAUGAUACGCGAGGAACCUUACCUGGGCUCAAAUGUAUGUUGACGUAUUCUGAAAGGGAUACUUCUUCGGACAAUAUACAAGGUGCUGCAUGGUUGUCGUCAGCUCGUGCCGUGAGGUGUCGGGUUAAGUCCCAUAACGAGCGCAACCCCUAUCAUUAGUUGCCAUCAGGUCAGGCUGGGGACUCUAAAGGAACUGCCUACGCAAGUAGUGAGGAAGGCGGGGAUGACGUCAAAUCAGCACGGCCCUUACGUCCAGGGCUACACACGUGCUACAAUGGCCGAUACAGAGGGCAGCUACCUGGUGACAGGAUGCAAAUCUCCAAAGUCGGUCUCAGUUCGGAUCGGAGUCUGCAACCCGACUCCGUGAAGUUGGAUUCGCUAGUAAUCGCGCAUCAGCCAUGGCGCGGUGAAUACGUUCCCGGGCCUU
rnacentral:rRNA from 1 species